rnacentral:lncRNA from 1 species
UAAAUUUCUUAUCGAAACCUUGAAUUUUUCCUACACCUUUCCUCUUCUUCUCCUCUCCUUUUCUCUCUAGAUCACUCCCUCCCUCUCUAAGAUCUUAUAAGAUGGAAGAAUGAAAUGGAAGUGAUGAGGAAAAUGGAAGAAAGAGGUCCCUAUUUAUAGAAAAUGGGAAUUGCUGGAUUUGCACCAAGUGGCAAAAUCUGGUGACAAGAGAGAAAGCUGAGUGGAAGAUGAGUGAUUUGACAACGCGACGGCGGCACAAAAAAUAGAGGAAGAAUUCCUCCACUCGCGGUAGCUCUUAACCCAAGGCGGUAGCACACUGCCAAAGGCAACGCACGUUU